rnacentral:rRNA from 1 species
UGCCGCGUGUAUGAAGAAGGCCUUCGGGUUGUAAAGUACUUUCAGCGGGGAGGAAGGGAGUAAAGUUAAUACCUUUGCUCAUUGACGUUACCCGCAGAAGAAGCACCGGCUAACUCCGUGCCAGCAGCCGCGGUAAUACUUUGGGUGCCCGCCCCCGC